AGAGGAUCUGCGCUGGUGGCGCAGCACCCACGGGCCAGGCAUGGCCAUGAACUGGCCACAGUUCGAGGAGUGGUCCUUGGACACACAGAGGACAAUCAGCCGGAAAGAGAAGGGUGGCCGGAGCCCUGAUGAGGUUACCCUGACCAGCAUUGUGCCUACAAGAGAUGGCACCGCACCCCCACCCCAGUCCCCGGGGUCCCCAGGGGGAGGAGCUGCUGAAGAUGAGUGAGGAGGACGAGCAGGGCUGGUGCCAAGGCCAGUUGCAGAGUGGCCGCAUUGGCCUGUACCCUGCCAACUACGUGGAGUGUGUGGGCGCCUGAGUGUCCUGACAGCCCUUCUGCAACGUUUACCCACCCUGGUUCAGAGCCCAGCUUCUCCUGGAGAGCCGGACCCUCAGGGCCCUGAACCGUCGCUCUCUGGCUGCUCCUCUGUCCCUUGAGGGA
rnacentral:lncRNA from 1 species